UGGGGAAUAUUGCACAAUGUGGGAAACCCUGAUGCAGCGACGCCGCGUGAGCGAAGAAGUAUUUCGGUAUGUAAAGCUCUAUCAGCAGGGAAGAUAAUGACGGUACCUGACUAAGAAGCCCCGGCUAACUACGUGCCAGCAGCCGCGGUAAUACGUAGGGGGCAAGCGUUAUCCGGAUUUACUUGGUGUAAAGGGAGCGUAGACGGCAAGGCAAGUCUGAUGUGAAAACCCAGGGCUUAACCCUGGGACUGCAUUGGAAACUGUCUGGCUCGAGUGACGGAGAGGUAAGCGGAAUUCCUAGUGUAGCGGUGAAAUGCGUAGAUAUUAGGAAGAACACCAGUGGCGAAGGCGGCUUACUGAACGGUAAAUGACGUUGAGGCUCGAAAGCGUGGGGAGCAAACAGG
rnacentral:rRNA from 1 species